rnacentral:lncRNA from 1 species
AGGAAAGGAUUUAUGUGGCUUACACUUCACCAUCACUGUUCAUCAUGGAAGAGAGCCAGGGCUCCCUCAAACAGGGCAGGGGCUGGAGGCAGGAGCUGAUGCACAGGCCAUCGAGGAGUGCUCCUUACAUAUUGCUCCUCAUGGCUUGUUCAGUCUGCUUUCUUGUAGAAUCCAGGACCCUAAGAUUAGGGAUGGCACUACUCACAACUAGCAGGACCCUCCUCUAUCUAAAACUAAUUAAGAAAACCCUCCAUAGGCUUUCCUAUACCCCAGUCUUAAGGAGGUAUUUUCUCAAUUGACUUUGUUGCCUCUAAAUGAUUUUAGCUUGGGUCAAGUUGACAUAAAACCGCCCACCACACACACACAAAAAGCUGUACUUUCUCUUCUGGCCCCCGGUGGUGUGGCUAUCAAAUUCAUCCCAAUAAGACUGAUAUUCAGAUUUGGGAACAGUAGUGGAGACCCCAGCAGGUCUGUUCUACAGUGGGUACUCUCAUGGAGAGAAGUUCUUCCCAUUUCUA